GAUGAACGCUGGCGGCGUGCCUAAUACAUGCAAGUCGAGCGAAUGGAUUAAGAGCUUGCUCUUAUGAAGUUAGCGGCGGACGGGUGAGUAACACGUGGGUAACCUGCCCAUAAGACUGGGAUAACUCCGGGAAACCGGGGCUAAUACCGGAUAACAUUUUGAACCGCAUGGUUCGAAAUUGAAAGGCGGCUUCGGCUGUCACUUAUGGAUGGACCCGCGUCGCAUUAGCUAGUUGGUGAGGUAACGGCUCACCAAGGCAACGAUGCGUAGCCGACCUGAGAGGGUGAUCGGCCACACUGGGACUGAGACACGGCCCAGACUCCUACGGGAGGCAGCAGUAGGGAAUCUUCCGCAAUGGACGAAAGUCUGACGGAGCAACGCCGCGUGAGUGAUGAAGGCU
rnacentral:rRNA from 1 species